rnacentral:tRNA from 1 species
AGCAGCGUGGCUCAGUGGAAAGAGCCUGGGCUUUGGACUCAGAGGUCAUGGGUUCGACUCCCGGCUGUGCCA